rnacentral:rRNA from 1 species
CAGCCGCCGCGGUAAUACAGAGGGUGCGAGCGUUAAUCGGAUUUACUGGGCGUAAAGCGUGCGUAGGCGGCUUCUUAAGUCGGAUGUGAAAUCCCUGAGCUUAACUUAGGAAUUGCAUUCGAUACUGGGAAGCUAGAGUAUGGGAGAGGAUGGUAGAAUUCCAGGUGUAGCGGUGAAAUGCGUAGAGAUCUGGAGGAAUACCGAUGGCGAAGGCAGUUAUCUGGCCUAAUACUGACGCUGAGGUACGAAAGCAUGGGGAGCAAACAGGAUUAGAUACCCGUGUAGUCCCUGUCUCUUAUAC